GGGUGUCACGGAGUGUGGGGGAGUCAGGGCCCUGUACCCCUCUUCCUGAGAUUCACUGUGACUUUCAGCCAACCAGUAAAACAGAAGUUUAAUUGAAGAGUAAG